rnacentral:pre_miRNA from 1 species
UGAAGUUAAGAAACUGUUUCUUAACUUUUAACUAAAAAAGUUAAGAACCAGUUCUUAAAUAAAGACUUUAGGAACCGGUUCUUAACUUUUUUACUUUAGGAACCGGUUCUUAACUUUUUUAGUUAAAAUUAAGAAAUAGUUUCUUAACUUCC